UUGGUUUCUAUGACAUAGUAUUAACAAUGUACUUCUAUGAAUAGUAUUAACAUAUUUUCAGUAAGAAAACAUGCUCUAUAUUUUGCUCAAUAGAUAGCUGUGCACGUGAAGUUUUUGAUAUGCAUAAUGUGAUUUUUACUAGGAAGAUAGUCCUAUAACAUAGUAUUAAUAGUGUACUUUUCCUUUUGCCUUUGCGAUUGUUUCUGGUGAAACUGUGGACAAUUGGAGGUGGUUUCUGCAAAGGAUAUCGAUG
rnacentral:lncRNA from 1 species